UGGGGAAUAUUGCACAAUGGGCGCAAGCCUGAUGCAGCCAUGCCGCGUGUGUGAAGAAGGCCUUCGGGUUGUAAAGCACUUUCAGCGAGGAGGAAGGUGGUGAGCUUAAUACGCUCAUCAAUUGACGUUACUCGCAGAAGAAGCACCGGCUAACUCCGUGCCAGCAGCCGCGGUAAUACGGAGGGUGCAAGCGUUAAUCGGAAUUACUGGGCGUAAAGCGCACGCAGGCGGUUUGUUAAGUCAGAUGUGAAAUCCCCGGGCUCAACCUGGGAACUGCAUUUGAAACUGGCAAGCUAGAGUCUCGUAGAGGGGGGUAGAAUUCCAGGUGUAGCGGUGAAAUGCGUAGAGAUCUGGAGGAAUACCGGUGGCGAAGGCGGCCCCCUGGACGAAGACUGACGCUCAGGUGCGAAAGCGUGGGGCAGCAAACAGGAUUAGAUACCCUGGUAGUCCACGCUGUAAACGAUGUCGAUUUUGGAGGUUGUGCCCUUGAGGCGUGGCUUCCGGAGCUAACGCGUUAAAGUCGACCGCCUGGGGAGUACGGCGCAAGGUUAAAACUUAAAUGAAUUGAC
rnacentral:rRNA from 1 species